CACGGGGGGAGCAAGCGUUGUUCGGAAUCACUGGGCGUAAAGGGCGUGUAGGCGGUCAGGUAAGUGGGAUGUGAAAUCCCCGGGCUCAACCCGGGAACUGCGUCCGAUACUGGCAGGCUUGAAUCCGGGAGAGGGAUGCGGAAUUCCAGGUGUAGCGGUGAAAUGCGCAGAUAUCGGGAGGAACACCCGUAGCGAAGGCGGCACUCUGGGCCGGUACUGACGCUGAGGAGCGAAAGCGUGGGGAGCAAACAGG
rnacentral:rRNA from 1 species